AAUCAUGGCUCAGGAUGAACGCUAGCUACAGGCUUAACACAUGCAAGUCGAGGGGAAACGAUAGAGAAAGCUUGCUUUUUCUAGGCGUCGACCGGCGCACGGGUGAGUAACGCGUAUCCAACCUGCCCACCACUUGGGGAUAACCUUGCGAAAGUAAGACUAAUACCCAAUGACGUCUCUAGAAGACAUCUGAAAGAGAUUAAAGAUUUAUCGGUGAUGGAUGGGGAUGCGUCUGAUUAGCUUGUUGGCGGGGUAACGGCCCACCAAGGCGACGAUCAGUAGGGGUUCUGAGAGGAAGGUCCCCCACAUUGGAACUGAGACACGGUCCAAACUCCUACGGGAGGCAGCAGUGAGGAAUAUUGGUCAAUGGACGAGAGUCUGAACCAGCCAAGGAGCGUGCAGGAUGACGGCCCUAUGGGUUGUAAACUGCUUUUAUAAGGGAAUAAAGUGAGUCUCGUGAGACUUUUUGCAUGUACCUUAUGAAUAAGGACCGGCUAAUUCCGUG
rnacentral:rRNA from 1 species